rnacentral:rRNA from 1 species
UACGUAGGGUCCGAGCGUUGUCCGGAAUUAUUGGGCGUAAAGGGCUCGUAGGCGGUUCGUCACGUCGGGAGUGAAAACUCGGGGCUUAACCCCGAGCCUGCUUCCGAUACGGGCAGACUAGAGGUAGGCAGGGGAGAGCGGAACUCCUGGUGUAGCGGUGAAAUGCGCAGAUAUCAGGAGGAACACCAGCGGCGAAGGCGGCGCUCUGGGCCGGUACUGACGCUGAGGAGCGAAAGCGUGGGGAGCAAACAGG